rnacentral:rRNA from 1 species
UACGUAGGGUGCGAGCGUUAAUCGGAAUUACUGGGCGUAAAGCGUGCGCAGGCGGUUUUGUAAGCCAGAUGUGAAAGCCCCCGGGCUUAACCUGGGAAUGGCAUUUGGGACUGCAAGGCUUGAGUGCGGCAGAGGAGACUGGAAUUCCUGGUGUAGCAGUGAAAUGCGUAGAUAUCGAGAGGAACACCAGUGGCGAAGGCGACUUUCUGGUCUGUAACUUGACACUGAGGCGCGAAAAGCGUGGGGAGCAAACAGG